rnacentral:rRNA from 1 species
AGGCGCAGCGAGAACCGCAAGGGGGAAACCCGACGAGCGACGCCGCGGCAGGAGAAGGCCCGGGGAAUCGCGCGAACGGGAGAAAAAGCAACCAAACAGCAGAGACGGACCGGGAGGAAGCCCCGGCCAACAC